GAUUCCCUUAGUAGCGGCGAGCGAAGUGGGAGUAGCCUUGUAUGAUUUAGCAGGAAAGAUAGUAGAGCAACUUGGGAAGGUUGGCCAUAGACGGUGAUAGCCCGGUAUAUUAAAUUUUUCUUGUGGAACUAGGCAUACGAACAAGUAGGGCGGGACACGAGAAAUCCUGUUUGAAGAUGGGGGGACCAUCCUCCAAGGCUAAAUACUCCUGACUGACCGAUAGUGAACCAGUACCGUGAGGGAAAGGUGAAAAGCACCCCGACGAGGGGAGUGAAACAGACCCUGAAACCGGAUGCCUACAAGCAGUCGGAGGGCGCAAGCCUGACGGCGUACCUUUUGUAUAAUGGGUCAGCGACUUAUAUUCUGUAGCAAGGUUAACCGAAUAGGGGAGCCGUAGGGAAACCGAGUCUUAAUAGGGCGUUUAGUUGCAGGCAAUAGACCCGAAACCGGGCGAUCUAUCCAUGGCCAGGCUGAAGGUUAGGUAACACUGACUG
rnacentral:rRNA from 1 species